AAGUAUGUCUAAAAGUUGUCACUAUUAUUCUAAUGAUAUCUUUCUCAGACUAAAGGAGCGAGUGCAGGAAGGGAAUGGACAGAGCAAGAGACACUCUUGUUAUUAGAGGCCUUAGAGGUUUACAGAGAUGACUGGAACAAAGUAUCAGAGCACGUGGGCUCCAGAACACAAGAUGACUGUAUCCUCCACUUCCUUCGUCUGCCAAUAGAAGACCCUUACCUGGAAGACUCCUCAGCCUCCCUUGGCCCACUGGCGUACCAGCCCGUGCCUUUCAGCCAAUCAGAUAAUCCUGUUAUGAGCACUGUGGCCUUCUUGGCAUCUGUGGUGGACCCGCGGGUGGCGUCAGCUGCAGCUAAGGCUGCUCUGGAGGAGUUUUCCAGAGUGCAAGAGGAGUCAGUGGAUAAGGUCUGUGAAAUGUCCAACCAGCCUGAAAAAGCAGGUAUGAC